GAAAUCAAAGGUGUUGAAAAGGGGGGAUGGGUGACCAUUAGUGGCCUUCCCAGUAAGAGUUUUCUCCAAGUUUAUACCACCAAUUAUAAAGGUUGCAAUGACCGGUUUCUUCGAAUCAGGUGUGGACCGAGAUGUCCUAAGUAAUAUACCCGCUAGAUGGGUCUUAUCGUUUUACCAUCUAUUGGACCGAAAUCCUCUUUUGGUAUCUGGUUUUGACUUUGACAAGUUAAACGACCAAGAGGUUAGGUCCUUGGCCAUAUUAGAUUCCUUCCGUAUGACGAAG
rnacentral:lncRNA from 1 species